rnacentral:rRNA from 1 species
UACGGGGGGAGCAAGCGUUGUCCGGAUUCAUUGGGCGUAAAGAGCUCGUAGGCGGCUUGGCAAGUCGGGUGUGAAACCUCCAGGCUCAACCUGGAGACGCCACCCGAUACUGCCAUGGCUAGAGUCCGGUAGGGGACCACGGAAUUCCUGGUGUAGCGGUGAAAUGCGCAGAUAUCAGGAGGAACACCGGUGGCGAAGGCGGUGGUCUGGGCCGGCACUGACGCUGAGGAGCGAAAGCGUGGGGAGCGAACAGG